GACGAACGCUGGCGGCGUGCUUAACACAUGCAAGUCGAACGGAAAGGCCCUGCUCUUGUGGCUUGCUCGAUUGGCGAACGGGUGUGUAACACGUGAGUAACCUGUCCUUGACUUUCGGAUAACUUUAGGAAACUGGGGCUAAUACCCGAUAUGAUCUCCUGCUGCAUGGUGGUGGUUGGUAAGUUUCGGCGGUUGUGGCUGGACUCGCUGCUUAUGAGCUUGUUGGUCGGGUAGUGGUUUUCCAAGGGUUUGACGGGUAGCCGGCCUGAGAGGGUGACCGGGCACAUGGGGACUGAGAUACGGACCAGAAGCGUACGGGAGGCAGCAGUGGGGAACAUUGCACAGUGGGCGGAAGCCUGAUACAGAAAUGCCGCGUGCGGGAUACCGGCCUACGGGUGGAAAACAGAUUUCGAAGGAGACGAAGCGUUAGUGACGGUAAUGGGUAAAGAAGCACCGGCUAACUACGUG
rnacentral:rRNA from 1 species